rnacentral:hammerhead_ribozyme from 1 species
AUCCAGCUGACGAGUCCCAAAUAGGACGAUAUGGCGCAUGUCAAACUGGAU